UACGUAGGGUGCAAGCGUUGUCCGGAAUUAUUGGGCGUAAAGAGUUCGUAGGCGGUUUGUCGCGUCGUUCGUGAAAACUUGGGGCUUAACUCCAAGCGUGCGGGCGAUACGGGCAGACUUGAGUACUACAGGGGAGACUGGAAUUCCUGGUGUAGCGGUGAAAUGCGCAGAUAUCAGGAGGAACACCGGUGGCGAAGGCGGGUCUCUGGGUAGUAACUGACGCUGAGGAACGAAAGCGUGGGUAGCGAACAGG
rnacentral:rRNA from 1 species